rnacentral:snoRNA from 1 species
AACCCACGGUGAGGGCACCUUCUUAAUAAAUCCUUAUACCUCUCCUAUGCAUCAUAUAGAGUCUCUAAAUCCAUUUGCACGAAGGAAGAGAUAUCAUUCCUCAACUU